UUUUUUUUUUUUGGGGGGGGGCAGUCGCAAGUGUUGCUUUAAGCCAUUAUCUCUCCUUUGAGUUCUUCAGCUAGUUUAAGUGUAAGAUUCUACAUUUAUUUCUACUGUAUCUGCAUAUCAAAUUUAACUUGAGUCUAUUAUUAUGGAACAAGUAAGCAUGUUAAAAUCUCCAACGCCAUUUUUUCCCCCAUGAGGAGAAUAUCAUAAAUGUUUUAAUUUUAGCAACUGGUAAAAUAUAUCUUAAAUAAGGCCAAGCUAAAGAGUGGCAUCCUUAUUACUACAGAUUUAACAUCCCUACUCCCAGUUUGAAAUAUGCUCCCCUGACCUCUUGAGGGAAUCAGCAGAAUUCUUCAGCCUCCUUAUUGAAUACUGUUAAUAAUUCAUCUCUAAAGGUACCCAGGAUAUGAAUAGUUAAGUAAUGAUGAACUAGCAUAUGAUCCAGCAAUCCCACUCCUGGUCAUAUAUCUGAAGAAAACUAUACUUCAAAUAACUGCACCCUAAUGUUCAUUGCAGUACUAUUUGCUAUGGCCAAGACAUGGAAGCAACCUAAAUGUCCAUCGAUGGAGGAAUGGAUAAAGAAGAUGUGUACAUAUAUACAAUGGAAUAUUACUCAGCCAUUAAAAAAGAAUGAAAUAAUGCCAUUUGGAGCAACAUGGAUGCAACUACAGAUUUUCAUACUAGGUGAAGUAAGUCAGAUAGAGAAAGACAAACAUCAUAUGACAUCAUUUAUGUGUGGAAUCUUAAAAAAAGUAUACAAAUGAACUUAUUUGCAGAACAGAAAUAAACUCACAUAUUUUGAAAAUAAACAUAUGGUUAACAAAGGGGACAGGUGGGAAAGAGGAGGGAUGAACUGGGUGUUUGGUAUUGGCAUAUGCACACUGUGGUAUAAGAAAUGGUUGGCUAAUGCAGACCUGCUAUAUAGCCCAGGAACUCUACCCAGUAUUCUGUGAUAAUCUAUAUGGGAAAAUAAUCUGAAAAAUAAUGGGUGUGUGUAUAUACAUAACUGAAUAACUUUAUUGUACAGCAGAAAUUACCACAACAUUGUUAAGCAGCUAUACUUCAAUACAACUUUUAAAAGUAAUGAUUGAAGAAACUUGAAAGGUGGAGUGGAUAUGGUAGAAAGUACCUAGUUGAAAUGGGAGAAAUUUCACAAGAAAGUUUUUGAUCUAUAGACUCUCAGCUUGCAUGACUCCUUGGAGAAGAAAUAAGGAAAUGUAAUAUAUAUAUAUAUAUAUGUACAAGGUAAGAGAGCCACAUAAGUAAGCAUUCACUAUUGUUUCACCAUUACAGAGAAUAUAAGAUAAAUCGAUUCAGAACAUUAAAGAAGGUAGUUCUCACCCUGGCAAUUACCUUUAAAGUGUUUUCUAGAUAGAUUUUUUCAGGCACUAUUUUUCUGGUCAUUGUUUAAUCAUCAGAGAGCUCCUAAAUUUGUCCUGUCUUUAUUAUUUUCAACUACAUGAAAGUAAAUAAUGGGGGGUGAGUGACAAAAUUACAUUUAUUUAUUAGAAAUGAAGACUGUGAAGAGUUCCCAUCAUGGCUCAGCUGUAACAAACCCAACUAGCAUCAUUAGGAUGUGGGUUCAAUCCCUGGCCUUGCUCAGUGGGUUAAGGAUUUGGUAUGGCAGUGAGCUAUGGUGUAGGUCACAGACGUGGCUUGGAUCUGGCAUUGCUGUGGCUGUGGCGUAGGUUGCCAGCUGCAGCUCCAAUUCAACACCUAGCCUGGGAAAUUCCAUAGGCCAUUGGUGUGGCCUUAAAAAGAACCCCCCCCAAGACAAAAUGAAGACAGUGAAGUAAAUACUAAAUAUCUCAUGAGAUCUUUCUUAAGAUUAAUUAACUGAAAUCCAUGAAUAAGACUAUAAUCUUCUGAAGUUAGAUCAUAGUAUUUUGUAUUGCAAUUAUUUAGAAUAUACAAAAUGAUAUGUUUGUGAUGUUUAAUAGAGAAAAAUAGUUAAUUUGAAAUAACUAGGGAAUGGAUUUAAUGUAUUCUGUACUUUUAACUAAAUUAUGGAAGUCUUAGAUACUCUUAUGAUUAAAAUAACCUGUAUGUUGGAAAAGUAAUUUUUAAAAAUUUUACAAACAUUGCAUAAUUAUCAUCAAAAGAAGGAAACUAUGGAGGUCAAACUUAAAGUGAAAACAGGAAUCCUGUGUGACAUUUUUGUUUUGUUUUGUUUUGCUGAUACUGAGGGUAAUUUGUGCUUAGGCCACAAUAGCUAUAUGAGGUAAUGACAUAAAUUAAGUUUAAUAGCUACCCAAGAUUAGAUAUCUAGCAUGAAAACUCAAACAUAAAGCUUGGGCCCCUAAAAUUUUCAUUCCAUAAAAAAAGCAAAAGCAAAAAUGGCUGUUGAAAUUAUGAAUGGAUUCUUAAUAGCAAUAAAAGAAGCCACUAAAAUGGGACUAAUAAUCUCCACUGUGACUACAGUAUUACUGUCAUUCCAUGCAAUUAUUUCUCAAGAACAAGAACAAAAUAAAAACCUUUUCAGACCAAAAACAAAUCCAGAAAAAUUAACAACCAGCAGGUCCUAAUUUUAAAAAAAAUAGAAAUUGUUAAUUUAGAGAGAAGAAAAAUAAUAUAAAGUAAAAUUUCAUAGGCAGGAGGGAAUGUGGAACAAAUAUCUCUCUAUAUAUAUCUAUAUAUAUAUCACUUUNAUAUAUAUAGAUAUAUAUAGAUAGAUAUAUAAGCUUAAAUAUGUGGAAAAAUCAAAACAAAUACUGACUGACAAAAUAAAAAGUAAGUCAGAAAGAGAAAGACAAAUACCAUAUGAUAUCACUUAUAUCUGGAAUCUAAUAUACAGCACAAAUGAACCUUUCCACAGAAAAGAAAAUCAUGGACUUGGAGAAUAGAUUUGUGGUUUCCAUGGGGGAGGGGGAGGGGAAGGGGGAGGGAGUGGGAUGGAUUGGGACAUCGGGGUUAAUGGAUGCAGACUAUUGUCUUUGGAAUGGAUUAGCAAUGAGAUACUCCUGUGUAGCACUGGAAACUAUGUCUGGUCACUUAUGAUGGAGCAUGAUAAUGUGAGAAAAAAGAAUGUAUACAUGUAUGUGUAACUGGGUCACCAUGCUGUACAGUAGAAAAUUGACAUAACACUGUAAACCAGCUAUAAUGGAAAAAAUAAAAAUAAUAAAAAAGACAUUAUUUAUAGAGAAAAUAAAACUAAUGCUGAACAAAACUGUAUAAAAUUUGGAAUGGGAGAACAAAGGUAAAGGAUUAUACAAACUUUUUAUCAUUCACCAAAAAGUCAAGAUCUUGGUUAAUUUUAAACUUCAUUCAGGUCAAAAUAUAUAGACAAACAGCUAAAAGAGUAGAAAAUCAGGGGAGUUUCCAUUGUGGCUUAGUGGUUUAGGAGACUGACUAGUACCCAUGAGGAGGUAGGUUCAAUCCCUGGCCUUGCUCAGUGAAUUAAAAUGUGCAGUAUAGGUCACAGAUGUGGCUCAGAUCCUGUGUUGCUGUGGCUGUGGUGCAGACUCGCAGCUGCAGCUCCGAUUUGACUCCUAGCCUGGUAACUUCAACAUGCUGCAGGUGCAGCCUUGGGAAAGAAAAAAAAUUAGAAAAAGAAAAUGGGGCAUAUAAGUUUGAAAAGAGAAAAAUGCAAUAAAAAGGGUACAGCUAUUGACAUUCCAAAAGAAAGGAAAACCAAAUUAAAAGCUGGGCAAAUAGAAAGCAUAUAGUAAUAUGGUAGGAAUAAAUUCGAAAAUAGCAGUAAACAAAAUAAAUGUAACCCCAUCUUUCUUAUGAGAAGAAUGGGGAAAAAGGACUUUUUUUAAAUUACUAGCAAGGAAGAGAUAGAGAAAAUGAUUUCUUUUCUAUGUAUGAACAAACACAAAUCUGUGCAUAUAUACAAAGUACACAUGUGUUAAAUACAUACAAAGAAGCAAUGCAACUAUCACCACCCAGAUCCCAGACCAAUCGCUAAGUGACAUUUGCAAGGGGCAGAUCAAAUGGCAUAGAAAAGGCUUUAAAAAAUGAACUCAUAGGACAGGUAUUAAAGAACUUGUGAUAUGAUCCUAACCAGGUUCAUUGGAAGUUAAAACAAAUAAACAUACAAAACCCAACUUCCCGGGAGAAUUUUAACAAGACCUGUAGGUUAACAACAGAAUAUAAUACAAAACUACUCAUCAUUCAAGAACCAGAAAAAUCUGACCCAUUUUCAAGGAAAAGUCAAUUAACAAAUGCCAAAUUUAAGAUGAUCCCAAUGGUAUUCCACUCUUGAAAUGAAUGAAGAGAGAAUUGUCAGCAGAGAUAGAAAUGACAUAAAAACAAGCAAAUGGAAAUUUUAGAAGUGAAAAAUAGGAUAGUGAUAAAAAACAAGACAUAACUGGAUGGGCUGAUUAUCAAAUGAAAAUAACAGAAGAGAAAUUAAUGAAUGUGAAAACAAAUCAAUAGACAUUUUUUUAAUUUGAAAAAGAGAGAAAAUAUUGUAGAAAAAUAUGUAUAGAGUCUAAGGGAAUUGUGUUAUAACAAAUACAAUCUUACAUUUCCAUCAACACACUCUCUGAAGAAGAGAAGAAAGUGAUUGGUAUAGAAAAAAAUUUUUUUUAAAUUGUUGAAAACUAACAUCCCAAAUUUAAUGAAAAAGAUGUAAACUUACAGAGAAAAAAUUCAAUGAAUCCCCAUUUGAAUAUUUGAAAUUCAAAGUAAAUCCUAUCUGGACAUAUCAUAAAGAAUUAAUGAUAAAUAAUGAUAAAGAAAAAUAGUGACAUAUUACAAAUAAGGGAAUAAUAAUUUAAAGUGCUGAGAUCAUGAAAUCAGAAAUCAUGGAUGCUAGAAGACAGUGCAAAAAUAUCUUUAAAAUGAAGAAAUAUUGUCAAUCCAAAAAUCUAUAUCCAGUGAAAAUAUUUUUAAUAAAUGAAAGCAAUGUAAAAACAUUAACAAACUUAAGAAAUACCAUUUGUUGCUCACAAAUCUGUUCUAAAAUAAUGAU
rnacentral:lncRNA from 1 species